GACGAACGCUGGCGGCGUGCCUAAUACAUGCAAGUUGAGCGCUGAAGGUUGGUACUUGUACCGACUGGAUGAGCAGCGAACGGGUGAGUAACGCGUGGGGAAUCUGCCUUUGAGCGGGGGACAACAUUUGGAAACGAAUGCUAAUACCGCAUAAAAACUUUAAACGCAAGUUUUAAGUUUGAAAGAUGCAAUUGCAUCACUCAAAGAUGAUCCCGCGUUGUAUUAGCUAGUUGGUGAGGUAAAGGCGCACCAAGGCGAUGAUACAUAGCCGACCUGAGAGGGUGAUCGGCCACAUUGGGACUGAGACACGGCCCAAACUCCUACGGGAGGCAGCAGUAGGGAAUCUUCGGCCAUGGACGCAAGUCUGACCGAGCAACGCCGCGUGAGUGAAGAAGGUUUUCGGAUCGUAAAACUCUGUUGGUAGAGAAGACCGUUGGUGAGAGUGGAAAGCUCAUCAAGUGACGGUAACUACCCAGAAAGGGACGGCUCACUACGUG
rnacentral:rRNA from 1 species